rnacentral:lncRNA from 1 species
UGGAUUGGGCUUUUCACUUUACAUUGGUGGUUCCAUUAGCAUUAACGACCAUAUGACAAGAUUGACAUUAGUUUAUUCUUUAUGAUACAAUUUUUUAUUUAUUAUUAAUGCAUAUAUAUUCUUUAUCCACUUUAUAUUGUUAAUAAUAUAAUUUUAUUUUUAAAAUUGCUAAUGUUGUUUGUGUUGUAAAAUUUAGAUGCAGUAGUUG